UACAGAGGCCUCGAGCGUUGUUCGGAAUUACUGGGCGUAAAGGGCAUGUAGGCGGUGACGUAAGUCAGAUGUGAAAGCCCUGGGCUUAACCCGGGAAGUGCAUUUGAUACUGCGUCGCUCGAGUACGGGAGAGGAAAGCGGAAUUCCCAGUGUAGGAGUGAAAUCCGUAGAUAUUGGGAGGAAUACCGAUGGCGAAGGCAGCUUUCUGGCUCGUAACUGACGCUGAGAUGCGAAAGCGUGGGUAGCAAACAGG
rnacentral:rRNA from 1 species